rnacentral:rRNA from 1 species
UACGUAGGUGGCAAGCGUUGUCCGGAUUUACUGGGCGUAAAGAGCGCGCAGGCGGUCGUUCAAGUCGCGUGUGAAAGCCCCGGCUCAACUGGGGAGGGUCACGCGAUACUGAUCGACUCGAAGGCAGGAGAGGGUAGUGGAAUUCCCGGUGUAGUGGUGAAAUGCGUAGAUAUCGGGAGGAACACCCGUGGCGAAGGCGGUUCUCUGGGACGGUACUGACGCUGAGACGCGAAAGCGUGGGAGCGAACAGG